GACGAACGCUGGCGGCGUGCCUAAUACAUGCAAGUAGAACGCACAGUUUAUACCGUAGCUUGCUACACCAUAGACUGUGAGUUGCGAACGGGUGAGUAACGCGUAGGUAACCUGCCUGGUAGCGGGGGAUAACUAUUGGAAACGAUAGCUAAUACCGCAUAAUAUUGAUUAUUGCAUGAUAAUUGAUUGAAAGAUGCUAUUGCAUCACUACCAGAUGGACCUGCGUUGUAUUAACUAGUAGGUGAGGUAACGGCUCACCUAGGCGACGAUACAUAGCCGACCUGAGAGGGUGAUCGGCCACACUGGGACUGAGACACGGCCCAGACUCCUACGGGAGGCAGCAGUAGGGAAUCUUCGGCAAUGGACGAAAGUCUGACCGAGCAACGCCGCGUGAGUGAAGAAGGUUUUCGGAUCGUAAAGCUCUGUUGUAAGAGAAGAACGGGUGUGAGAGUGGAAAGUUCACACUGUGACGGUAUCUUACCAGAAAGGGACGGCUAACUACGUG
rnacentral:rRNA from 1 species